rnacentral:lncRNA from 1 species
UCCCCCCCAGAGUAGCAGAUUAUUACGCUCUUAUUUAAAAUGAUGCUUAGGGGCGCCUGGGUGGCUCGGUCGGGUAAGCGUCAGAUUCUUGAUUUCAGCUCAGGUCAUCUCACGCUUUGAGACACUGAGCCCUGUAUCAGGCUUUGCGCUGACAGCACGGAGCCUGCUUGGGAUUCUCUCUCUCUCUCUCUCUUUCUCUCUCUCUCUCUCUCUCUCUUUCUCUCCCUCUGUCUCCUCCCGCAUGCUCUCUCUCUCAAAAUAAAUAAAUAGGCUUUAAAAUGAUGCUUCGAAGAAGUUUUCAUCCAUUGUACUUAUGGCUGUUCCAGGCACAGACUUUUAUCUCAGUUGACUCCGCAUCUCAGAUGUGACAGACGAGCCCAUUCCUUCUCUCCGUAGCCUUUGCACCAUUGUCACGCUGAAAACUAUAGGAUUAUGGUCGAGGUUCUAGAACAUGUCCGAGAUGGACAUAACCGAUAGGAGUGCCCAAGCCCCGCUGAACAAUUUCGGGAGCAGCUUCUACCCAGUUGAAGCGUGUCCUGAAGCCCCCGUGUCCGUAAGACGGGCCUUGUGGACGUCUGUUUCAACUUGCCUCCUUUGCCUGCGUUCAAAAACCGUGUCUUGUGGCCUCUGCCCCACGUCCACCUGCUAACCCUGUCCGGCUGAUGUAUGGCUCCUGCUGACAAUGGUUCCUACUGACCCGUGCUGUGUGAUGAACAAAAGCUCCUACUGAACCACGUCUCCUGUUGACCUGCGGCCUCUGCUGACUCAUGGCUCAUGCUAACUCAGGGCUUCUGCGGACCCAGAGUUCGUCUCCAUCCAUGGCUCCUGUCGACCCUUUGUGCCUCCUGACCCAUGGCAACUGCUGACCUUUGGCCCCUGUUGACCCGUGGCUCCAGCUUACUCACGUCUUCUGCUGAGCCGUGCCUUCCAGUGGGAUGAAGAAAGGGAUCCAGCCCCCCGGAAGAUCCAGGGCUCCAAACAACUAGAUCUCAGUUCAGAGUAGCCCUGGAAUCUCAAAAAAAGGAUCUGUAGCGUGGGGGGCGCCUGGGUGGCUCAGUCGGUUAAGCACCUAACUUCCGCUCAGGUUAUGAUCUCAGGGUUCAUGAGUUGGAGCCCGGCUCUGGGCUGACAGCUCAGAGCCUGGAUCUGCUUCAGAAUCUGUGUCUCCCUCUCUCUGCCCCUCCCCCACUCAGGCUCUGUCUCCUCACUCUCAGAAACAGACAUUAAAAAAAAUUUUUUUUUAAAGAUCUG